UAUAUUGCAAUAUUUUAGGGGCAUUUUAGUUCUCUUCUUUACUUAUUCUUCCUUGAAUAGUGUGAUUCGGACAAUCUGAAAAUUAACCCAAAUUAGCCUUUUUAAGCUUAGCAGAAUUUUGUAAAAUUUGAUGGUUGCCGUUAGUUGCGCAUGCUUAGCUGUAGAGUUAACAAUGGCGGCUUCAGAUGCUUCAUCAGACUAUCACAUGACUGGAUCUGCUCAACCAGGAGCAGCAACCCAGUCGGGUGCAGCACGGCAGUGACCACUCCCAAAGAAGAAGCGAGGUAGACCCAGAAAUAAUGGACCAAAAGGGUCAGUGGCCACGCCAAUUUCAUCCGUCGCACCUUUUCUCAGGUGAUUGAUUUUUAGGCGAAAGUCCAGCCAGUUGGGUCAGCUAUUACAGUUGUAUCAGCCCAAGUUGAUGUUGAGAAAUGAGAAGUCAGACUAUGCUAUCAUCCAAGUCCCUCAAAUCGGUUUGUGAUAGGCAUUAUUGAUGAAACAAGAUUUCUCUGUCAGUUUAUUGUCUUGGUUGACAUUUGCGUAAAAACUUCCUCUUCCAUUGUUUCUGUAGGGCUGGUAUGAUAUACUUACUUUCACUUUACAUUACAUAGUAUUCACGGUUAAUACUGGAGAGGUAUAUUGUAUCUUUGGAAGUCUUGUAAAAAAUGUUCAUACCUAUGAAAGUUCUCUUUAUAGCAUGAUAUGAGUUGCAUUUGCAAUUCCACUCUCGUCUUUCUUUAAGUUUAUAUGAUGCAUCUCUUUUACAUUGCUAGUUAUACCAGAUCUUUUUUUCUCCAAAUUGUUUCAUUUAAUGGGUUAUAAACUUGAUGGGUGUUCAAAAAAGUUGUAAUACCUGGAUAGUGCAUGCAUGUUUUUUCCUGAACAACGAAAUGCAAUUUAACCUACCACUGUGAAUUGACUAUUUGCCAAUAUAUCUCUAUAACAAAUUGCUCAUAUUUCGAUUAAUUAUUUUGGAUGUCAGCAUGAAGGUUUUAUCAUUUUUUCAACAAGGGUCUCGGUCAAUGUGUAUUCUCUCAGCAACUGGUGUAAUCUCUAGUGUCACAUUUCAUCAAACAGAUACUUCUGGUGGUAAAGUGACAUUUGAGGUGUUGCAUCUUAUUACUUUGCUCUUUUUAUGGUUAAAUCUUCUGAUUAUCUUGUGCCAAUAUCAUUUUGAAGAGCCAUGUACAUUUGAUGAUUGCUUCUACACGUGAAGUUCCAUUGUAUGGUAUUCUUUCUUGGCCUAUCAAAUGAUGUAGUACUAUGCAAUUCUGGUAAUUAGGUGUCGGGAAAUGUUAUUGAUGAAAUAUUUAGCCUAAGUAGUCUCUUAAAUAUUAAAACUUUUUAUUCUUCCUUUUUUCAAUUUUAUCUAUAGAUACAAAUAUAGGUUAAUUUUGGAAACUAAUAGAUAUUUUUAUAAUAAUGUGAAAGACUUAUCAGAUUGAUGACAUUGAUCUUAUUGGUGCACUUCCUUUCAUUUGAAGGCGCGGUGCUUUUGUUACCUUAAAACAAAUAGUUUUCAUUCUUUGACUGCCUUGGGCAUGGACGUGCGUUUUCUUGUACCUGUAGACAAUGGUAUCAUCCAAGUCCCUCAAAUCGGUUUGUGAUAGGAAUUAUAGAUGAAACAUGACUUCUCUGUCAGUUUGUUGUCUUGGUUGACAUUUGCGUUUAAACUUCCUCUUCCAUUCUUCGUAUAGGGCCGGUAUGAUUUACUUACUUCCGCUGGAUCAUAUGCUGGAGGAAUGAGAAAACUUAUCUGGUGGAAUGAGUCUGUCUCUAUUAAGCCCCGAGGGAGGGACGUGUCAUUGGUGGUCGGAUCGACAGUCAAUUGGUAGCUGCCAGUCCUGUGCAGAUUAUUCUGGGAAUCCUUCCUGAAAAUUAGCAUGAGCAGACGUGAGCUGCAUAUCAUCAUUCCCUUCCUAGUCAGGUCUUUUUAGUAAUCUGAACUAGUUUUCAGAAUCUUUAUCUUGUCCACCUUUAUUUAAAGAACUCAUGUACCUUAAGAUCCUGCUGUGAAGGGCACAGUCGAUUUUUGUGAUUUCUAGUGGGUAGCGUUAACGGAUUAAUUAGGCCUUCAAUACAAAAAAGUAACAAACUCCAACUCAUCCCCACUUUGGUUUCCUGGAGACACAAUGAUGUAUCACAUGAAUUCUAUAAGUGUCUAUAUGAUCAUUUUUGCAGGUUGGAGUGUUCAAGUGACAUAGUGAAGGCGAAUUGAGGUAUCUAGACGUAUAUAUUCAAUGUACUUGGAGUGUUUACUUGCUAGACGUAUAUAUUUUAUACCUUGUGAACAUUGUCCCAUGAGCUGAUGAUAAAACACUUCUACAUCUUCAUGGUCUUUACUGUUUUGUCGUCGCUUUUUAUCGUUUCCUUCGUGUUUAAAGAUUUUCACAACAUUGUGAUUAGUAAAACUUUAACGCAAGGAAUGUGCAUAUGGCACACAGUAUAAAAUUAAGUCGAUACUUUAUUAUUUCAA